CAAUAGCGUAUAUUAAAGUUGUUGCAGUUAAAAAGCUCGUAGUUGAACUUCAGACCUGGCCGGGCGGUCUGCCUAACGGUAUGUACUGUCUAGCUGGGUCUUACCUCUUGGUGAGCCGGCAUGCCCUUCACUGGGUGUGUCAGGGAACCAGGACUUUUACCUUGAGAAAAUUAGAGUGUUCAAAGCAGGCCUAUGCCUGAAUACAUUAGCAUGGAAUAAUAAAAUAGGACGUGCGGUUCUAUUUUGUUGGUUUCUAGAGUCGCCGUAAUGAUUAAUAGGGAUAGUUGGGGGCAUUAGUAUUCAGUUGCUAGAGGUGAAAUUCUUGGAUUUACUGAAGACUAACUACUGCGAAAGCAUUUGCCAAGGAUGUUUUCAUUAA
rnacentral:rRNA from 1 species